rnacentral:rRNA from 1 species
GUCCUGUAGUGGGGGAUAGCCCGGCGAAAGCCGGAUUAAUACCGCAUACGCUCUACGGAGGAAAGGGGGGGAUCUUAGGACCUCCCGCUACAGGGGCGGCCGAUGGCAGAUUAGCUAGUUGGUGGGGUAAAGGCCUACCAAGGCGACGAUCUGUAGCUGGUCUGAGAGGACGACCAGCCACACUGGGACUGAGACACGGCCCAGACUCCUACGGGAGGCAGCAGUGGGGAAUUUUGGACAAUGGGGGCAACCCUGAUCCAGCAAUGCCGCGUGUGUGAAGAAGGCCUUCGGGUUGUAAAGCACUUUUGUCCGGAAAGAAAACGCCGUGGUUAAUACCCGUGGCGGAUGACGGUACCGGAAGAAUAAGCACCGGCUAACUACGUGCCAGCAGCCGCGGUAAUACGUAGGGUGCAAGCGUUAAUCGGAAUUACUGGGCGUAAAGCGUGCGCAG